rnacentral:rRNA from 1 species
AGGCUUAACACGUGCAAGUCGAGGGGCAGCGCGGGGCGGCAACGUCCUGGCGGCGACCGGCGGAAGGGUGCGUAACGCGUGAGCGACAUGCCCGUUGCCCGGGGACAACCGGUGGAAACGCCGACUAAUCCCCGAUGGGACGGAGGCCCCCAUGGGUCUCUGUUGAAAGUUACGGCGGCGACGGAUUGGCUCGCGUCCGAUUAGCUAGUUGGCGGGGUAACGGCUCACCAAGGCUACGAUCGGUAGGGGUUCUGAGAGGAAGGUCCCCCACAAUGGAACUGAGACACGGUCCAUACUCC